rnacentral:lncRNA from 12 species
GCUACAGGUAGGUGGUGGCCCCGUUGCCAUCCCUGGUCCCAUAAGGCAGGUUUGGUGGCCCGGUGGCUACAGGUAGGUGGUGGUCUCGUUGCCAUGCCUGGUCCCACACAGCUCUUUGGUGGCCCGGUGGCUGCAGGUAGGUGGUGGCCCCGUUGCCAUCCCUGGUGGCACAGAGGCACAGUUUGGUGGCUCGGUGGCUGCAGGUAGGUGGUGGCCCUGUUGCCAUGCCUGGUCCCACAAGGCAGGUUUGGUGGCCCAGUGGCUACAGGUAGGUGGUGGUCUCGUUGCCAUGCCUGGUCCCACACAGCUCUUUGGUGGCCCGGUGGCUGCAGGUAGGUGGUGGCCCCGUUGGGGGGGGGGGGGGGGGGGGGGGGGGGGGGGGGGGGGGGGGGGGGGGGGGGGGGGGGGGGGGGGGGGGG